GGUUCGCAGUCCAGUGCUCGGUACACUGAGCCACACAGCCAAGGCUGCAAUAUAGAGUUUUAAACACAUUUUUGAGCCCAGAAUCUUAGGAGAUAGGUAGAAUAUUCUCAUGCCUGUUUUAUGAUGAGGGAAACCAAGAAUUAAAGUCCAAGUUUGUCUGAGUCCAAAAUCUCCAUUAUUUUUAUUAUAUUAUGCUAUCUUACACAGGUUUAUCUCCCAUUUUCACCACACACUUGGAAGAGAACACAUCAGAUUUUAUUGGUUUUUGUAUUUCUUUCUCUAAGUACCUAACACCACAAAUAUUUCAUACUUGUGCCCUGGAAUAAAGAAUCUUUCAUUAGAGACAUAUAAUGGGGAGUAUGUAAAGCAUCUAGCUAAGUUAAAGUAAGUUGCACUAAUUCAACGCAAUGAUCUGCACACAGAAACCUGUGAACCAGAACAGGUAGAUUUAAUGCAGAGUUGCUCCAACUUUGUCUGAGAAUGGCAGACACCAAUGUUUAUCAAAUAUCUAAAUUUUCUAAAUUUUCUACAUUUCCAAGGCUCCCUUGCAAAUAGGCUGGGGUUAUUUGAUUAGUUCUAGUUAAUGAGCUGUAAGUAGGUAUAACUUGUGUCUUUUCUAGUCAGAGCCAGCUAAGAGUAGAUAUAAAUUCUCUCAUUUCUUCCUCUGCUGUGGCAACAUACAUGCUGAGAUGGCAUCCCAAGAUGAACCUUUAUUUCUAUGUCAACCCCCUCCCACAUUUGUUUGUAAACCACUUUGGAAACACAUCAACAGCAAAAACAAAACGAAGCACAUGCAAGCAUCAUAAGUAAUAUUCUUUGUUGUGUUAAGUCAAUGAGAAUUCAGGACCUGCUACCACAGUACAGCAAUCUGAAUAGUAUACUCUACUAUUGGUAGGACUCAGUUUUAUCUAUUCUAUGGGAGAGAAAGCACCAUGUCCCU